rnacentral:pre_miRNA from 1 species
CAAAGCAUUGCAUGGAAAAGAAUAGAGUCUAACUGAGCCAAGGAUGAAUUGCCGGCAUUGUAUAUUACCCCUCAAAAUGCAAUCUAUAUUUGUCGACCGGCAAUUUGUUCUUGGCUAUGUUGGGCUCUCUUCGUUCCAUGCAAUGCCAUG